ACCUUAAAAAUUGAUCAUCUAGAAUAACAUAGUGCUAAAUAUGCUAGACAAGUAAGACUUUUUUGUCUAAAUAAUUAGCUACUAUAUUUUGUCAUGAGGAUUUGUUUCCUGGAGCACAGAAGGAUUUACCAGGCAUUAAAUUAUAUAUGAAGUAAAAUGUAACUGAGCUGCUCAGGGGCAUCCGAGUGGCUCAGUCAGUUAAAUGUCAGACUCUUGAAAUCAGUUCAGGUCAUGAUCUCAAAGGUCCGUGGGUGUAAGCCCCACGUCGGGUUCUGAGCUGACAGUGUGGAGCCUACUUGGGAUUCUCUCUCACCCCUUCUUUCUGCCCUUCUCCUGCUUGCUGUCUUUCUCUCUCUCUCUCUCUAACUAAAUACUAAUAAAAAAAAUUAAAAAAGUUAAAAACAGCAAUAAAUGAAGAACUGAGCUGCUAAAAGUAGUUGAUAAUACUUUAGGGUGUUAAAGAUUCAGUUAUAUAUUCUCUUAUUUAAUCUUCACCAUUACCCUCCAAGUAAACCAGCUCAAUGAAAUUAAAUGACUUGCAUCACUCAUUUGAUGCCAGAAAAGGAUGCUGAUAUCAUGUCCAUAGGCAUUAAAACUGGUUAUCUUUACACUGCAUCAUUUGGUCUCUCAUAGUAAAAUAGGCAAUACAUUUUUUAAAACAACCUUUUCAUUUUCAGUUUGUGGGAUCAUCCUUCCUGAGUAUGGAGCAACAUGGUAUAACUAAUGAAACUGACUGUUCUGAAAAGCUAUCCACAAACUUGAAAAAUUCCUCAUUUGUCCAGCAAAGUAAAUUAAUUCACCGGAUGAUAGACAUUAAUUAAUGGAUCACGAUUGACCACGAAUGACUGAAACUGUGGAAAGCAAAACCUUGCAUAAGGAGGGAACCAUUGGAACUGUCUACAGACUUUCAAAGAGCAGAUUCAUGAAAAUGGCACACCGUUUAUUAGCUCUUAAAACAGUGCAAGGAACCAGGAAGAAAGAGGUAAAGAUGAGGAAACAGAGUGCUCUGUUUAAAGAUCCUACUCUGUCUGAUACUGCAUGGAAUGCUGCUGUAGAUGAAGAGGAGAAUUCUGCCUGGGUCAAGAGUGAAGCGUACCACCUAAGACACACCCGGAAGAGCAGCCUCUUAUUUAUUUUGCAGAGCAAUACCUCGAUGCCAACCUUGCACAGGCCAAGGAGACUUCCUUGCCUGAAGAAGCCAGGCUGACCAGUGCUAAGCCGAACUUAAGAGCCACAGGACCAACAGAGCCACUGACAGAGCCAGCCUGCUAAAGGGAUAACAGCUGAGGAGUUCGAACAUUUCCUCUCCCUUAUUUUGGAUCCUAUUUUACUGUACAAUUUUCUUACAAGCAACAUCAUGGAAGAGAUCUAUGUAGUGGUGUUUGGACUUCUGCCAGCUUCUUUGUUUUCAUAGGUCAGCCCUGCUGAGCUGUGUAGACACGAUGGGUAUCCUAAAGGAUGUCUGCCAGAUGAACAGGGUCAAGGUCCAAAGUGAAGUGUACUGAAAGAAGAAAAAGACCCUACUAUCCUCAUCUUAUUGGUCUUGGAAGUCCUUGAAAUUUUAGAUUCUUUAUCAUAUAGCUGUUUGCAUCUCAAUUAGAGAUGUUUUUUCCCGUCAGAGACUUGCCAGUGGACUGGAGCUUGAGCUGUAACAAACGACCUGACCUAUGCUCCCCAUGUCAUAACUUAGCAGAAGGCUGAAGCCAGUGUCUUGAGCUAAGACUCUUUUUUGAAGGUAAUUGUGUUGCUUGGAGUAUUUCAGCUUAAAGGACAAGAAUGAGGUUUCUGGUUUUUCCUUGCCCCCGCCUGUAAAUGAGUAUCUUAAAUGAGUAUCUUGUGACACAGUAUUAUACCCCAUAACCCAUCUCCCUAGCCACUUGAGCCAAGCUACCUAUCACUCACUCUCAACUGACUGCUUGUAGCUUAAGCUUAGUGGACAGGGAGAAGAGUGCUAAACAUACGUAUAUGAGCAUAUGCACAUAUCCAUGGGUGGGACAAACUUCAUGCUGCUGCAUCAUAAUCCUGCACCAUUGCUGGGCAAUAAUGGUUCUGCCUCCCAGCCCAACACCAAUGUCAGGUUCGGCUCUGAUACCAUGCAGAUCCCUGGACUCCUGCUGAGAGGCUAGGGCUGUUUCCUAAAUAUAUACUCUAAAACCAAAUCUACUUUCCAUUGGCUUGGAGCUCUAUCAGUGCUGCUACACUGAAAGUCUUUUUCAUGAAUUAGUAAUAUGUAUAAAUAAACAUUCAAGAAUAGCCA
rnacentral:lncRNA from 1 species